CCAUUAUCUGAUGUCUGGCAUAAUUCAGAAAUUUUAAAAUAAUAAAAUUAUAGUUAAAUUUUCCAAAUACAUCUGUUACAUACAGAUUGAGUUGGCGUAUGCUGACAACUGCUGCUGCUAUUACAGAAUAGAGCUUAUGAAAUAUUAACUUAAAAAAAAAGAACUCCUACUAUUUGCAUACCUCACAAUCACAUUCUUCCCAGGGAAAGCUUGUACAGGGAUGUCUCUCCUUUGAUGAAUUGCACUUUAGCCCUACCAUUUAAUUAAUGUCCAAUUGCACCAGCAAUUUUUGAUCUUCUUCUGUCCAACAUAUAGAUUCAGUACGUUCAACUUGAACACAAGCCUGAGCUUCUCCAACAAGCGUAUGAUCCAAUUCACCUGACUCUAUACACUGCAAGUCCUCCAAAAGAAUCUUAUAAUGUUUUUGCACAUCCUCUGCACUCUUCUUCCCUCCAAGAAUGGAUGCAACCACUUGCCAUCGAUCAGGGUUUUCUUCAUCAACUACUGCCAAAGCCAGCUCAAACUGCUUAUUCUCUUCCCAGCUCCACCCACACAACAUUUUUGGAGAAUCAUCCAUAUUACCAUAUACCAAUUAUCAAGCCACAACAAACUAUUAGAGUCUUGAUCAAUAUUAGACGUUUUCCUGAGGAAAAUAAGGAAGACACAGUUGGUCAUUCACGUUAUAGUAUUCAUCGAACAAGUGUGAGAAUCUUUUCUGGUAGUUUGUUUGAUUCUCUUGACCAGAUUCUAAUACCCCUGAGUCCUUGGGGGGGCGUCAGAUAGGUGAGCUAGAAGCAAAUCUUCUCUUUUUUGUUUGUUCUUUCAAUGGGAGUUUCUGGGUGGUGAUGUGUGUAUGUCACAGACAAUUGGCCCUGCUUGGUCCAGAUCAUUUCUUGCAGGACCUAGAAUCCCAAAAUUUCCAAUUCUAGCAUUGGAUUCCAAUUGCUGUUAGAUCCGGAACUGCUGCAAUCAUCCAUGUAAAUUUUUACACAAAAUAUCAGAAUUCGUUCAAUCAAUGGUGGAGAAGAACCGACAGAUUUCAUUUGAAGCCAAUCAGCAUAUUUUCACUUCUUUAUUAAAAUUUCUAACUUGCAAGAAAA
rnacentral:misc_RNA from 1 species